rnacentral:tRNA from 1 species
CGGGCAGUAACUCAGUGGUAGCGUUUUUGCUUCGUAUGCGGAAAGACCUGGGUUCGAUUCCAGGCUGCUCAC